GGAAGCAUGGUUUAGUGGUAGAGCACUUAACUAGAAAGUUUGAGGGUCUGAGUUCAAACCUCAGGGCCACCG
rfam:Dipodomys ordii contig_41100, whole genome shotgun sequence.